rnacentral:lncRNA from 1 species
GUGGGUAUCGUUUGGAUGCUGAGCAGAGAUAGUACCAGGUCUGGCAAAGGCUUAGCUUCAACGGUGGUGGUGGCUGUGUAGACUCAGAACAAAGCAUGACAACUGGCUUGUUUUGUGACGAGGCCUCUCCUGCCUUGCUUGCCCUGUGCAAUGUAAUGUAGACACGAUGGUUGGAGUUCCAGAAGUUGUCUUGGACGAUGAGGUAGCUUUGAGGAUAGAAGCCUUUGGCUAAGGAAGGUGGAGCACAAAGACAGAAGACGAAGAGCAUUCCUGAGGACUGUGGAGUUCCAUGCCAGCCUUGCAUUGUCUAUCUUGUUACUUCUGUGGGAGAAAAAAUACAGUAAACCUCUAUCUUGCUUAA